rnacentral:rRNA from 1 species
CUACGGGCUGCAGCAGUCGAGAAUCUUCCGCAAUGGACGAAAGUCUGACGGAGCGACGCCGCGUGCGGGAUGAAGGCCUUCGGGUUGUAAACCGCUGUCGGUGGGGAGGAAAUGCAUCAGGGUUCUCCCUGGUGUUUGACCGAUCCGCAGAGGAAGCGCAGGCUAAGUUCGUGCCAGCAGCCGCGGUAACACGAACUGCGCGAACGUUAUUCGGAAUCACUGGGCUUAAAGAGUUCGUAGGCAGCCUUUCAAGUCGGGUGUGAAAUCCCUCGGCUCAACCGAGGAAUUGCGCCUGAUACUGUUGGGCUUGAGGGGGAUAGGGGUGAGCGGAACUGAUGGUGGAGCGGUGAAAUGCGUUGAUAUCAUCAGGAACACCGGUGGCGAAGGCGGCUCACUGGAUCUCUUCUGACGCUGAGGAACGAAAGCUAGGGGAGCGAACGGGAUUAGAUACCCCGGUAGUC